rnacentral:sRNA from 1 species
GUUACCUCUUACAAGAAAGAAUACAAUCUUUUAGAGCAGGGGGAAC